rnacentral:tRNA from 1 species
GGAGACGUGGCCGAGUGGACGAUGGCGUUGGUCUUGAAAACCAAUGUAGCGGUUUUCCGUUACCAGAGGUUCGAAUCCUCUCGUCUCCG